UAUAAAAUAAACUACAAAGAUAUAUUGUAAACACAGGGAAUAUAGUAAAUAUUUUAUAAUAACUAUAAAUGGAGUAUAACCUUUAAAAAUUGUGACUCACUAUAUUGUAUACCUGUAAUUUAUAUAAUAUUAGACAUUAUUUAUUUAUUUUUGCUGUGCUGGGUCUUAGUGGCGGCAUGCGGAUUCUUCAUUGCCAUAUGUGGGAUCUUUUAGUUGCGGCAUGCAGACUUUUAGUUGCAGCAUGCAUUCCCCAACCAGGGAAUCGAACCCCGGCCCCCUGCAUUGGGAGUGUGGAGUCUUACUCACUGGACCUCCAGGGAGGUCCCCUGAAACUUAGUAUGUUAAUCCAUGAAAAUGAUAAUAAUGAUAAUAGCUAAUAUUUAAUAUGUAUUGCUCAUUGAAUAUAUGUCAGGCAUUAAGAAGUACUUUACAUAUGUUAGUUCAUUUAAUAGUAAAUCAUGGAGUUGUUGCUUUCGUUAUCAUUAUGAUGAUUGUUUUAUUUUUAUUUAUUAUUUAUUAUUUACUUAUUUAUAUCUUUUGGCCCCAUGGCAUGCAGGAUCUUAGUUCUUGGACCAGGGAUCAAACCCAUGCCCCUUGCAGUGGAAGCACGGAGUCCCAACCACUGGACCACCAGAGAAGUCCCACGAUGAUCGUUUUAAAGGCCCAUGAAGGAAGAUUCCAUAUAUAUGUGUGUGUUAGCAUACGGUAUUAGACAUUUCUCCAAAGAAGAUAUACAGAUUGCCAACAAACACAUGAAAGAAUGCUCAACAUCAUUAAUCAUUAGAGAAAUGCAAAUCAGAACUACAAUGAGAUAUCAUCUCACACCAGUCAGAAUGGCCAUCAUCAAAAAAAAUCUACAAACAAUAAAUGCUGGAGAGGGUGUGGAGAAAAGGGAACCCUCUUGCACUGUUGGUGGAAAUGUAAAUUGAUACAGCCACUAUGGAGAACUGUAUGGAGGUUCCUUAAAAAACUACAAAUAGAGCUACCAUACGACCCAGCAAUCCCACUACUGGGCACAUGCCCUGAGAAAACUAUAAUUCAAAAAGAGUCAUGUACCACAAUGUUCAUUGCAGCUCUAUUUACAAUAGCCAGGACAUGGAAGCAACCUAAGUGUCCAUCGACAGAUGAAUGGAUAAAGAAGAUGUGGCACAUAUAUACAAUGGAAUAUUGCUCAGCCAUAAAAAGAAAUGAAAUUGAGUUAUUUGUAGUGAGGUGGAUGGACCUAGAGAAUGUCAUACAGAGUGAACAGGACCCGAAAUACUGGGAAAUCUCAAUCUAAGAUAAACAAAAUGUUUCAUGAGAAUCCAGAGAUGACAUUUAGUAAACCAUCAGAAUGGAGAGAGCCGCCCUGAUCUCCAGCAGCACCAAGAAGGUUAUCAACAUUCAUUCAUAUAUUUAAUGUCUAUUAUGUAAGACCAUUUCAUGAGAAAAGGAAGAGACUGAAGGUUUGACCCUUCCUUUGACAAGUGAGGAACACAGACCUGGACAGGUGAGUUAGCUGACCGUGGUUAUUCAGUGACCCAAGCCAAGACCAAGGUGUUUGACUACCGAUAAGACAGAGGUGUGAAGAUUUCUCUACUUCUGAGACUGAUCCAACACUGCAGAGCUGUCAUCAAACAUUAUACCUCAAAUUCGUCCUCCUUUCGCUCACAGGCCCUGGUCCUCACUCCUCUGUAUCACAGACAACCUGGAUGCACCUUGUCCCUCUUCUGGCCUCCUCACUUCCUUACCUCUGCCCUUAUAAACUUCUUCCCAGUUCUAUAAACUUGCCAGUUCUUACCAGGCUCAGGUCACACUAAAGACCUGCCCUGAAGGCUCUUCUCCAGACACCACAUGGCUCUGCUCGCUCUCUCUCUACAUCCAGGUCUCUGCUCAAAUGUCAUCUCCUCAGAGAGGGCUUCCUCGACCACCUUCUCUAAAACAACACCCCAUGAGUUCUUCAUUCACUAUUUUUAUUAAAAAAACAUCAAUCAAAUAUCUUCUGAAACUUUAUUUUGAAGUGUAAUGCAUAUACUGAACCAUGCAGGAACCACAAAGCACUCCUCAACCUUCUGGAACUCCAGUGCCUGCAACCAGACUGUCCCCGACAUGGGGUCUUCCCUCCUUGACCCUACCUGACCUGCAGGACUUAAUUGCUGAGAAACAGGAGGAGGAAGAGAGAAAACAUUUCCUUAACCCUUUGAUUCACGUAUGGUCAGAACCCAGGGAACUGGUCUGUCUUGUUUCCAGUGGAAGGUACAACUCUGAGUGAGAAAAAAAGGAGCCGCUCUAUCCUUGAUGUGGGGACCAUCUCUGAUUCCUCUUUACUUCCCCUUUUGACUCCCUCAAGGCACUCAGCAAAUGUCAGCUAAUGAAUAAAUGAGAAAUGUGUUGUUGGCUAAAAAGACAGUAUUUAAGAUUCUGCAGAUUAAAUAUUUGUACCUAGUGCAUAGUAUGGUACCUAGUAGGGGUUCAUUAAUUACUGAAGACAAUGACAUUUCAACCAUUUUAUUAAUUCAUUCAGCAAAGUAUGUAUCAAACCUCAACCAUGUCUUGGGCAAUCUGUAAGAACACAUGGUUUAAUAAAAGGCUGAUUCACACGUGAUCUCUACUUUGUAAGAAUCUGAGUGGGGUCUAGAAUAAGUAGGAUACAUAUAACAAUGACAGAUAAUUGAAAGCAGCAAGUGCUGAUAGGACUGCCCGUCAAGGGUUUUGAGUUUGAAGAAGUUAGAGCAAAGCAAGGAAGCUCUUUUCCCCUUAAACUGGUUUCCUUGGAUAUCCUUUUUCAUGCUUAUCCCGGCAACCUCAUGGCCUCGAACUUUCCUUCUUAAUGGGUUAAUGCCAAAUCUCUUUGUUCUGAUUUGUCUCUUGGUUUCCAUCCUCCUCUCAGACAUCAUCUCUAUUGAGAUUCUGCCUGCACUGCAAACUCCAUAUAUCAAAAACAGAAGUCAUAAUUCUCUGCCAAUCUAACCUUGCCUUCUUGAAGAUGGGAGGAAAAAAAAAAAAACAUGAUACAGGGCAAUGAGUUGGGAAUUCAUAGCAUUCAGAGACAGGGAGGCAUGGACAGAGACAGCAAAGAUGACGACUCAAUAAAAG